UGGGGAAUCAUGGUCAAUGGGCGAAAGCCUGAACCUGCGACGCCGCGUGAGUGAUGAAGGUCGUAAGAUCGUAAAACUCUUUUCAGGGAUCUUAAAGCACAACCGUCAACAACGGCUGUGUGUGACUCUCCCUGGAAGAAGCCCCAGCCAACUACGUGCCAUCAGCUGCGGUAAUACGUAGGGGUCGAGCGGUAUUCGGAAUUACUGGGUGUAAAGGGUAUGUAGGCGGCCCUUCAAGUCGCGUGUCAAAGUCCAGUGCUCAACGCUGGGUGUG
rnacentral:rRNA from 1 species